rnacentral:rRNA from 1 species
ACGAAGGGUGCAAGCGUUACUCGGAAUUACUGGGCGUAAAGCGUGCGUAGGUGGUGAGUUAAGUCUGUCGUGAAAGCCCCGGGCUCAACCUGGGAAUGGCGAUGGAUACUGGCUCGCUAGAGUGCGGUAGAGGAGAGUGGAAUUCCCGGUGUAGCAGUGAAAUGCGUAGAGAUCGGGAGGAACAUCAGUUGCGAAGGCGGCUCUCUGGACCAGCACUGACACUGAGGCACGAAAGCGUGGGGAGCAAACAGGA